AUUCCAGCUCCAAUAGCGUAUAUUAAUGUUGUUGCAGUUAAAAAGCUCGUAGUUGGAUUUCUGGUGGGAGCGGCCGGUCCGCCGUAAGGUGUGUACUUGGUUGUCUCCUGUCAUCCUUGUGGGAACUGCUCUGGCAUUAAGUUGUCGGGGUUAGGGAACACAUCGUUUACUGUGAAAAAAUUAGAGUGUUUAAAGCAGGCUUAUGCCGUUGAAUACAUUAGCAUGGAAUAAUAAGAUAGGUCUCAUCCUCAUUUUGUUGGUUUGCAAGGAAGAGAAAUGAUUAACAGGGACAGUUGGGGGUAUUCGUAUUAGAUUGUCAGAGGUGAAAUUCUUGGAUUUAUUUAAGACGAACAACUGCGAAAGCAUUUACCAAGGAUGUUUUCAUUG
rnacentral:rRNA from 1 species